GGUUCGAUCAAUGGCUCAGAUUGAACGCUGGCGGGAUGCUUUACACAUGCAAGUCGAACGGCAGCACGGACUUCGGUCUGGUGGCGAGUGGCGAACGGGUGAGUAAUGUAUCGGAACGUGCCUAGUAUGGGGAUAACUAGCGAAAGCGUAGCUACUACCGUGAUGGCCCUUCGGGGAAAGCGGGGACCUUUCGCCUCGCACUAUUGAGCGUCGAUAUCAUCGGAUUAGCUAGUUGGUGGGGUAACGGCUCACUGGUUAUGACGAUCCGUAGCUGGUUUGAGAGGACGACCAGCCACACUGGGACUGGCAUACGGCCCAGACUCCUACGGGAGGCAGCAGUGGGGAAUUUUGGACAAUGGGGGAAACCCUGAUCCAGCCAUCCUCGGCGUGUGGCGACAAGGCCUUCGGGUUGUAAAGCACUUUUGGCAGGAAGAAACGGCAUGGGAUAAUACCCGUGCAACUGACGGUACCUGCAGAAUAAGCACCGGCCAAUCACGCCAGCAGCCGCGGUAAACAGCGUAGGGCAAGCGUUAAUCGGAAUUACUGGGCGUAAAGUGCAGGCGUGGUCUGGAAAAGAAAGAUGUGAAAUCCCAGAGCUUAACUUUGAACUGCAUUUUUAACUACCGAGCUAGAGUCAGAGGGAGGUGGAAUUCCGCGCGUGUAGCAGUGAAAUGCGUAGAUAUGCGGAGGAACACCGAUGGCGAAGGCAAGUCCUGGGAUAACACUGACGGCCAUGCAGAGCGUGGGGAGCAAACAGGAUUGAAGUACCCUGCAGUCCACGCCCAAAACGAUGUCAACUACGGUAUGGGGGCCUUCGGGCCUUGUAGCGCAGCUAACGCGUGAAGUUGGACCGCCUGGGGAGUACGGUCGCAAGAUUAAAACUCAGCGAAUUGAUUGUGACCCGCACAAGCGGUGGAUGAUGUGGAUUAAUUCGAUGCAACGCGAAAACCUUACCUACCCUUGACAUGUCUGGAAUCCCGAAGAGAUUUGGGAGUGUCGCGGGGCGGAGAAAUCCGGAACACAGGUGCGUAUGGCUGUCGUCAGCUCUCGUGUCGUGAGAUGUUGUUGGAGUCCCAACGAGCGCAACCCUUGUCAUUAGUUGCGAAAGGGCACUUCCAUCGAGACUGCCGGUGACAAACCGGAGGAAGGUGGGAUGACGUCAAGUCUCAUGGCCUCUUAUGGGCAGGGUCACACGCCGCAAUGGUCGGGACAGAGGUCGCCAACCCGCGAGGGGAGCUAACCGUGAAACCCGAUCGUAGUCCGGAUCGCGGUGUCUGCACCGACUGCGGAAGGAAUCGCUAGCAAUCGCGGAUCAGCAUGUCGCGGUGAAUACGUUCCCGGGUCUUGUACACACCGCCCGUCACACCAUGGGAGUGGGUUUUACCAGAAGUAGUUAGCUUCCAACUGUAUGAGGCGAUUACCACAGUAGGAUUCAUGACUGGGGAAGUCGUAACAAGGUAG
rnacentral:rRNA from 1 species